CUUCAUAUGAGUUUGCAAGGAAGCAUGGCUGCUUUUCAGCGUUACAAAGCAAGUGUGGACCCAGCUCCUGCUUCUGGAGGUUGAAAUUGAAACAACCCAAAAUUGAUCGGACUAGGCGUAUGUGGAGUGAUCGUGAGGAACAGGUUCUGCUGACAUCUUUGAUGGAGCU